GCCUGUUGCACAAAAGUAGAAUUAAGACAUCCGGGAUAAAUGACUCAGCUGAGCUCAAUGAAGCCAAAACAUGUGCGUCCAGGCUUAAUUGGUUGCACAAAGACCAAGCCAGGAUGAGCAGACACGGAUUCAUUAAGCCAGGUGAAACCAAUCCUGGAUAGGUGCGCGCUCACGGCUCACUCAAAUAGACCCCGCCACAGAUCACAGAUUAACUGAUUUACCAUGGCAACUAGAGCCGCGUACUUUUCCCCGUCGGAAGCACAAAUCCUCAUGGAGGCAUACGAGGAGGUAAAAGAUAUAAUUAAGAAGAAAGGCAACACCGCCACAGUGAUAAAGCAAAGAGAAAAAGCGUGGCAAAGUAUUGCAGACCGCCUGAAUGCAUGGUCUGCAAUGCUGACUGUGUGAUCAGCAAUGUUGUGGCAAAAUGGCCUGGCUCAGUCCAUGACUCCAGAAUCUUUCGGCCUCUGAAAUCUAUCACAAGGUGAAUUCUCUGGUGUGUUGCUGGGAGACAGGGG